GGGCGUUAAGUUGCAGGGUAUAGACCCGAAACCCGGUGAUCUAGCCAUGGGCAGGUUGAAGGUUGGGUAACACUAACUGGAGGACCGAACCGACUAAUGUUGAAAAAUUAGCGGAUGACCUGUGGCUGGGGGUGAAAGGCCAAUCAAACCGGGAGAUAGCUGGUUCUCCCCGAAAGCUAUUUAGGUAGCGCCUCGUGAAUUCAUCUCCGGGGGUAGAGCACUGUUUCGGCUAGGGGGUCAUCCCGACUUACCAACCCGAUGCAAACUGCGAAUACCGAAGAAUGUUAUCACGGGAGACACACGGCGGGUGCUAACGUCCGUCGUGAAGAGGGAAACAACCCAGACCGCCAGCUAAGGUCCCAAAGUCAUGGUUAAGUGGGAAACGAUGUGGGAAGGCCCAGACAGCCAGGAUGUUGGCUUAGAAGCAGCCAUCAUUUAAAGAAAGCGUAAUAGCUCACUGGUCGAGUCGGCCUGCGCGGAAGAUGUAACGGGGCUAAACCAUGCACCGAAGCUGCGGCAGCGACGCUGAUGCGUUGUUGGGUAGGGGAGCGUUCUGUAAGCCUGUGAAGGUGGCCUGUGAGGGUUGCUGGAGGUAUCAGAAGUGCGAAUGCUGACAUAAGUAACGAUAAAGCGGGUGAAAAG
rnacentral:rRNA from 1 species